GACGAACGCUGGCGGCGUGCUUAACACAUGCAAGUCGAACGGAAAGGCCCUGCUUUUGUGGGGUGCUCGAGUGGCGAACGGGUGAGUAACACGUGAGUAACCUGCCCUUGACUUUGGGAUAACUUCAGGAAACUGGGGCUAAUACCGGAUAGGAGCUCCUGCUGCAUGGUGGGGGUUGGAAAGUUUCGGCGGUUGGGGAUGGACUCGCGGCUUAUCAGCUUGUUGGUGGGGUAGUGGCUUACCAAGGCUUUGACGGGUAGCCGGCCUGAGAGGGUGACCGGCGACAUUGGGACUGAGAUACGGCCCAGACUCCUACGGGAGGCAGCAGUGGGGAAUAUUGCACAAUGGGCGGAAGCCUGAGGCAGCAACGCCGCGUGCGGGAUGACGGCCUUCGGGUUGUAAACCGCUGUCGCCUGUGACGAAGCGUGAGUGACGGUAAUGGGUAAAGAAGCACCGGCUAACUACGUG
rnacentral:rRNA from 1 species